rnacentral:rRNA from 1 species
UACGGAGGGUGCAAGCGUUGUCCGGAAUCACUGGGCGUAAAGGGCGCGUAGGCGGUCCGGUAAGUCCGCUGUGAAAGUCGGGGGCUCAACCCUCGGAUGCCGGUGGAUACUGUCGGGCUUGAGUACGGAAGAGGCGAGUGGAAUUCCUGGUGUAGCGGUGAAAUGCGCAGAUAUCAGGAGGAACACCAAUUGCGAAGGCAGCUCGCUGGGACGUUACUGACGCUGAGACGCGAAAGCGUGGGGAGCAAACAGG